rnacentral:rRNA from 1 species
UACGUAGGGCGCAAGCGUUGUCCGGAAUUAUUGGGCGUAAAGAGCUCGUAGGCGGUUUGCCGCGUCUGCCGUGAAAGCCCGGGGCUCAACCCCGGGUCUGCGGUGGGUACGGGCAGACUGGAGUGCAGUAGGGGAGACCGGAAUUCCUGGUGUAGCGGUGAAAUGCGCAGAUAUCAGGAGGAACACCGGUGGCGAAGGCGGGUCUCUGGGCAGUAACUGACGCUGAGGAGCGAAAGCGUGGGGAGCGAACAGG